rnacentral:lncRNA from 1 species
CCCCUUAUUCACUGGUCUACCUCCCCCUGCCCCUGCCCUGGAAAGAAUACGAUAGCAGGUGCCGGAUAGCGGUAGCGAUAGAAGCUGUGGUUUGUGGUCCAAUCAGUUCAUUUAAUUGACCAAAUAAUCGUGUAAAGAAAUUUUAAAUUCAGUUUCUGUUAAAAUGGAGCCAAUACUGUUAAUUCAUGGCGGUGCUGGAGAUAUUCCCGAUUCUAGAAAUGAAGGCAAAA